UGUAACCUUUCCCUCUAGAGUUUUACAUUCUCGCUCUCAAGGGUUUUCCACACAUUUCCAAACCCACAUUUUCGUUUUUCUUCAGAAUGCUCCAUCAAGCUCGAUUUGGAUUCAUCAAACCAGCGUUCAUCUUCUCAUCUCUGUCCAAGAAAGCUCCGUCUUCAAAUUGGCAUUCUGAAAGCUCGUUCUAGAAGUUUAAUUUGGAUCCAUCAAACCGGCGUUCAUCUUCGUCCUCGCUCGUCCACCAGUGCUCGUCCUCUCCGUCAUCGAUCAGUGCUCGUUGGUCGUUGCUCGUCUCUCAGUGAUCAUCUCUUAAGAAGUUAUUGUUGUCUUUUGGGUGUGCUUUGUUUUGGAAGAAAAAAAUCACUUCUACUUGAACAUUCAUCAGUUUAACAAUCAUCUUCUUACAUUGGGAUGACACAAGCUGAUAUAUUCAAUCGACAAUAUACUGGUUGGAAUACAAGUGCUCUGCAGGUUUUGGAAAAAUUGUUUCCCAAGGGCCAUUUUGGAAAGUGAAGGUUGGGAAAAGGAUUCUAGAACAACAAAUUUCACUACUACCAACACUAGUGUUAUUCCACCUUCUACUUUCUACUAAAGACACGCCUUAUCUAGUAUUUUUUUCUUGCUCUAGUAUGUUAGUUUCUCCACCCUUCCUCUUCUGGAGAGACACAUUCUCCUAAUUCAAUUCAUUUCAGGAUGUGAUAUUUAUAAACAACUACAUGCAUUGAAGGAUUGUAGAAGGCUUCCCGGUUUCUCCCCAUCUAAGGUAUUGGAUUCUGGUGUUGGGACUGGUUCAACUUUCUGAUCGUCAAGUGGGAUCCAUUGCUUCACUGGGUGGAGACAAAAUUUGGCUUUAAGCCUAUUGUCCAUUAUCUACGAAUUAUGUGCAUAGAUAAUAACUAUAAUGACUUUGGAGGAAAGAAACAAUAUUUGAGUGGGCACAGAGUGACUAAUUUAUUUGAAUUAUGUAGAUGCCUUGAUGAGUUGAGGUUGUACUAAAGAAUUAAUAUACUUAAGUUUAAAUUUCAUAGGCUUUAGAUUGUUACAAUCCCACAAGAGUUCUUUCUCCAAGUCUUUUAUCUAUAGGUCUCAUUCCUGUUAUUAGCUGUAGUAGAACCACCCCAAAGGAAUACACAUAUGUUUUAAUUGACACUUUGCCAAAUUCUGCAUAUUUUGGUGUCAUCUCCAUCCACUAUAGUUUUAAGAUACUGGAACCAACCACCUUGGGUUAAAAAGAGAUUGAGCAUUUUAUAUAUCUCCUUUAUUUUACUUUUCUUCAUUUGGCAAAGGGAUGAUUAUGCUCUUUCUAUUUUUGUUAAUAUUUGGUAUUAAGUAAGCUUCCGUUGCCAUUGAAUCAAUUUAACAGAUUCCUUUUACAUCUACUCAUAGUUAGGAUAAUUUCUUUUAAUGGUUUGAAGGGAAUCAGUUUUUCACAUCUAGUAAAUUUUGUAUUAGCAUAUUUUAGUAUGAAAUGUUGUUCCAUGCAGGUUAACAAUGCAGGAAUUGGUGGAGUUGUAAUUAAGACAGUGAUUUAAUCAGUACAGUAAUCCUGAAUCGUGGGGUGGUACCAAAUGAGCAAGGAACAAAGACAGUGACUCAAACAUACGAGUUAGCUAAAGAAUGCUUGCAAAUAAAUUACUAUGGCACUAAAAUAACUGUAGAAUCACUCAUGCCCCUCCUCCAAUUAUCUGAUUCACCAACAAUUGUGAAUCUAUCGUCCUUUCUUGGGCAGUUAGAGAGUUUCCCUAAGGAAUCAUGGGCAAGAGCAGUGUUGAGUGAUGUUGAUAACCUAACAGAAGAGAAAGUGGAUGAAAUAGUGAAGAAGUUUCUAAGUGAUUUCAAAGAAGGUUCAUUAGAGAGUAAAGGGUGGCCUAGGUAUCUAGGUGCCUAUAUUGUGUCAAAAACAGCUCUUGGCUAAACAACCUAGUGGGACACAUCUGGCAUUCCUCAGUUCUUGUUCCAUAUCAUGGAUGGUUGGUCCCUAGCAUCUCUUUUCUUGUUCAUUUGCCCUUCUAUUGAAAGUUCUUUAAGAUUUUAUAGCAUGCCCAUUUCCACUACAAGAAAAUUGUUGAUUAUAACUUCUUCUAAUAGUUUCCUAACAACCAAAGUUGGUUUUAGAGUUGUUAACCGAAAUUAAAAAAGUGAAGAUGUUUCUGACACAUGUUUUGGGCUUGGUGAAACAAUUUUAGUGCUGACAACUUUAGAUUAUCAAACUGAAAUUAGUGACAGUAUUAAAACAUCUAAAAUUAACAAAGUUAGUUGAACACUGAUAGCAGAAAGUAUUAAAAAACUUAAGUUUAAGGAUCUAAGUUCAAGGUUGUUUAAAA